rnacentral:rRNA from 1 species
UCCGUAGGCGGUGCGGCAAGUCGAUAGUGAAAUCCCUGGGCUUAACCCAGGGGCUGCUAACGAAACUGCCGUGCUCGAGUGUGAGAGAGGCGAGUGGAAUUACGGGUGUAGCGGUGAAAUGCGUAGAUAUCCGUAGGAACAUCCGAGGCGAAAGCGGCUCGCUGGAUCACAACUGACGCUGAGGGACGAAAGCUAGGGGAGCAAACAGGAUUAGAUACCCUGGUAGUCCUAGCCCUAAACCAUCAGGACUUGGGGUUUGCCCUGUACGGGGCAAGUCCCGUAGCUAAUGCGUUAAGUCCUGCGCCUGGGGAGUACGGUCGCAAGGCUGAA